rnacentral:lncRNA from 1 species
UUUGUCUCUGUCUUCCUAAGUAGGGACCAGAACAGCCACCUCCCUGCUGGGCCCGGGGGAGGCACACCUGGGCCACGGGUUAGUGUGGAACUAGUUAGGGGGCUUCUGGAGGGGCUGGACAUGUUUAAGUCAGCUGGCCCAGACGAUCUCCACCCUAGAGUCCUUAAGGAAUUGCCUGAGGUCAUUGCGGGACCCCUGGCACGGCUGUACGAGCACUCGUGGUGCUCUGGUGAGGUGCCAGAGGACUGGAAGAGGGCCAACAUGGUCCCCAUCUUCAAAAAGGGCAGGAAAGAGGACCCAGGAAACUACAGGCCAGUUAGCCUUACCUCAAUCCUAGGCAAGCUGUUUGAGAAAAUUAUGCUGGCACACAUCCAGGAGGGGCCAGUGGGGGAUUUCAUGCUUAGGGGCAACCAGCACGGGUUCAUCAGUGGCAGGUCCUGUCAGACCAACCCGGCGGCCUGCUACGACCAGGUCACCAAACCCUUAGAUGCAGGGCAGCAGUGGACGUCGUCUUCCUGGACUUCCGGAAGGCCUUCGACACUGUCUCUCACCCUGUUCUCAUUAAGAAACUGGGGGCUGUGGUGUCGACACCCACAGUCAGAUGUGUCACCAACUGGCGGGAGGGCCGCACCCAGAGAGCGGUGGUGGUCAGGUCGUGUUCGACCUGGAAGGACGUGGGCAGUGGGGUCCCCCAGGGCUCAGUCCUCGGGCCCAUCCUCAUCAGUGACUUGGACGAGGGGUAAAAAGCACCUGUUCAAAUUUGCUGAUGACACUAAGAUGUGGGGGGAUGUGGGCACGCUAGAAGGGAGGAAUAGGCUGCAGUCGGAUCUAGCCAGGUUACAGGGGUGGGCGGAUGAGAACAGGAUGGGAUUCAACACCGACAAGUGCAAGGUGCUGCACCUCGGGAGGAACAACCAGCACCAUACCUACGGGCUGGGAACUCCCUUCUUGUCAGGGCAGAGGCAGAAAAGGAUCUUGGAGUCAUCACUGAUGCCAAGAUGAACACAGGCCGGCAGUGUGGGGACACGGUCAGGAAGGCCGACCGCACCUU